CCCAACCUUGAUGGUACAUGAGGAAGCACAUGAACUACAGUGAACUUGAACCUGAGAUGGGCACGAUGCCCAGGGGCUCUGACUUCUCAGAGUCUGAAUCCUGACACCAGGAGAUUUAGACCAUUACAGACAACACGUGGUCAACAUGCAGAGAAGAGCCGAUUGUGAGAUGCUCAAUCCUGGUUGAUACAUCUACAAUACAACCCUUAUACUUAAGGCUCAGAGACUGUCUUAGACCUUGAAAGAAAAGCAUCAUGUUAAAGGCACUCACAGAGAAAAGAAGGGUUAUCUGCAAAGAAUAAUGAUUGUGGAACCAUAUUAGGCUUUGAGAGACCACCGCCAUCUUCAAGAAAUACCAACAUCAUGGAACACAAGGUAGUGUAUCAGAAUUCUUUCCAUGUAAUGAGCUUUGUUCUGAAAAUGCACCGUCUAGAAGCUUUAUGACCCAGAAAAGAUACUGGCAGAAGACAGGAGUCUCAUGGUUAGGGACAAAGAACUUUCUCACUCAAGCAAAAGCAUCAGCCAACACUUCUCAUGCUUGGCAUUGGUUGCACAUGAACCCCAGGUCUCAUGGAGAUCACAUCAUAGAUGGCCGCACACAUAGUAGGUCUCUACAGAGUAAGAUUGACAAGCUUGGGAAUUCACCACUUUUAUGGUAAUAGAGAGCAAGACUGAAUGCCUUAUCUGGAAAAAUAUUACCCCAGGUCUCAUGAUUUUUUUUCAUGGAAAAUAAAAA